rnacentral:lncRNA from 1 species
CUCUGCCAAACUUUGUUAGCGGGGCUAGUGUGAGCCAAGAAUAUUUUUGGUGGUGAAUCAUUGUUCGGUCAAUUUGAAGAAAAAGGCUUGGAAAGUGACCCACGGAGAGGAGGGGGGGGGGGGAGGAUACAAGGGUCUGGUGAGAAAAACCGGUGGGGGGAAGAGAAGGUUGAAUGAUAAAAAUAGAGACCACGGGGAUCUAUUAAAGGCUACCUCACCAACUUGCAGCACAACUUGCAAAUUAACCAUCCCACGCUUUAUUUCAAAUAGAAAACGGUACGCAAGAGAAGGGAGAAAAGGAGAAAAAAAAAGGAUAAACAAGUGAAGGAC